rnacentral:misc_RNA from 1 species
GCUCCGUUGGUGAACCAGCGGAGGGAUCAUUACUGGAAUCGCAAGAUCCCACAACCCCUGUGAACCUACCGAAACGUUGCCUCGGCGGGCGCCCGGCCCCGCGCCGGGCGCUGAGCCCGCCGGCGGCCCCCUACUCUUGUCUCUGCAGCGUUGCAUCUCAGAGUCCCAGAAAACAAGUAAAAACUUUCAACAACGGAUCUCUUGGCUCUA